GACGAACGCUGGCGGCGUGCCUAAUACAUGCAAGUCGAACGCAGUGGGUACGGGUGAGUAACACGUGGGUAACCUCCCAUCAGAGGGGAUAACACUUGGAAACAGGUGCUAAACCGAUAGUGAUGGAUGGACCCGCGGGGCAUUAGCUAGUUGGGGGGGUAACGGCUCACCAAGGCCACGAUGCAUAGCCGGCCUGAGAGGGUGGUGGGCCACACUGGGACUGAGACACGGCCCAGACUCCUACGUGAGGCAGCAGGAGGGAAUCUGCGGCAAUGGACGAAAGUCUUACCGAGCAACGCCGGGUGAGUGAAGAAGGUUUUCGGAUCGUAAAUCUCUGUUGUUAGAGAAGCGGUAUCUAACCAGAAAGCCACGGCUAACUACGUGCCAGCAGCCGCGGUAAUAC
rnacentral:rRNA from 1 species